GAUGAACGCUGGCGGCGUGCCUAAUACAUGCAAGUCGAGCGAACGGACGAGAAGCUUGCUUUUCUGAUGUUAGCGGCGGACGGGUGAGUAACACGUGGAUAACCUACCUAUAAGACUGGGAUAACUUCGGGAAACCGGAGCUAAUACCGGAUAAUAUUUUGAACCGCAUGGUUCAAAAGUGAAAGACGGUCUUGCUGUCACUUAUAGAUGGAUCCGCGCUGCAUUAGCUAGUUGGUAAGGUAACGGCUUACCAAGGCAACGAUGCAUAGCCGACCUGAGAGGGUGAUCGGCCACACUGGAACUGAGACACGGUCCAGACUCCUACGGGAGGCAGCAGUAGGGAAUCUUCCGCAAUGGGCGAAAGCCUGACGGAGCAACGCCGCGUGAGUGAUGAAGGCCUUCGGAUCGUAAAACUCUGUUAUUAGGGAAGAACAUAUGUGUAAGUAACUGUGCGCAUCUUGACGGUACCUAAUCAGAAGGCCACGGCUAACUACGUG
rnacentral:rRNA from 1 species